GACGAACGCUGGCGGCGUGCUUAACACAUGCAAGUCGAACGAAGUGGCGAACGGGUGAGUAACGCGUAAUCAACCUGCCCUUCAGAGGGGGACCACAGUUGGAAACGACUGCUCAUACCGCAUACUGAAGGAGGGGCUUGCGUUGGAUUGGCAAGUUGGGGGGGUAAGGGCCCACCAAGGCGAUGAUCAGUAGCCGGUCUGAGAUGAUGAACGGCCACAUCGGGACUGGGAAACGGCCCAGACCCCUUCGGGAGGCAGCAGUGGGGAAUCUUCCGCAAUGGACGAAAGUCUGACGGCGCAACGCCGCGGGAGUGAUGACGGCCUUCGGGUUGUAAAGCUCUGUUAAUCGGGACGCGGUACCGGAAUAGAAAGCCACGGCUAACGACGUGCCAGCAGCCGCGGUAAUAC
rnacentral:rRNA from 1 species